rnacentral:lncRNA from 1 species
CCAGAGAACUCUAUCAAAGCAGGUCUGCCUUGUGUCUUCUUUUUGUGAAAGCAGUUCUGCAUUCAGAAAUAGAACCAAUCUAUUUUCUAAAAUCAAAAUAGAAUUUGACCAGUUUUGCAUCAACUAAAGGUAAUGUUCCAUUGGUGGCCUAGCAGGCUAGCACUGAAAAACUAAAAAUAUUGCUAUCACAAAGGUAGUGUUCCAUUGUUGGCAUAGCACAGGAAACUCGAAAUAUUGCUAUCACAAGAAGAUUGCACCAUAUCCAAAAUAGAAAUUAAUUGGUGAUAAGUAACAUGCUAAAAAUAUAGCUUCCAUGUUUUUGUCCAAUCGAACUUCAUAAUAGGCAGACUUUAUUUGGCUCAUCUGAUAUAAACUAAAAUGGAAGUUCCACCGCAUGUAGCAAGAAUUUGAUUGUCUAAUCUAACCCUACAAAAAUGUAAAAGUAGUUGAGUAUAUGGAAGUAUUACUAAAGAACACAUUUAAAAGAGAGGUCUCGAGGCGAAGGAAAGUCCUAGAUUCCAUUUUUAUAAACAUGAUAUUACUUUGGAUGUGCAAAUACAAAUAAACCUAUGUAGGUUUUUCAUAUAGCCUAAAACAGUUUUCAUAGUUUGAAAGGCAUUGUUAAAUUAGGCACUAUUGUACUCUUCCUAGGUUUUGGUUGUUUACUGCUAGGUAUAGCGCAUCCGGUUUGAUUUUGCAAGCCUUUCAGACAUGGGAAGGGUCUGUAAUGCAAAUAGUCUCUCCAUGAUGAUAGUAGUAGUUGUGAUGAUGAACAUGACACUCCAUCCAUCUCAAAAUAUGUAGUGGUCUUUCUUUUAGGAUAUACUAGUGUUUAAUAAAAGGUACUUGUGUAUCAUUUUUAUAAGGUAGGAGGAAAUUCUAUUUGGCAUGCUCCAGCCUAUACAUAUAAUUUUUGUUUCAUGUGAUUUACCUCUAGAAGAUUGAAUCCCAUGAUGCUAGCCAAAUUGGAAGCAGACACUGGGAGCCCUUGCCGUACCUAAUCAUAAGCCUUUCUAUCAAAAGAAGCAGCAACACCAAGAAUAGCUAAUUGUUGCUAGUCGUAAUGAAAAAUACAAUUGAGUUCCUAACAAUCUAAUAAUAGACAUAAAAGCAAAGUCAAUGCAGGUAUCAAGGAAAGUUCCCAGCUAGAACUAUCAAGUUUCGAACAUUAUUAAUAGCCAUAAUUAGUCGAGUAGGGAAUAAAGAAGCACAAUAGCUUAAAUUAGCUCAUAUCGGCCUUUCCCUAAGCCAAAUGCACCUAAAUGUUUAUGAAGAAAGCACUGAAUUAGAGUAAUCAAGGAUGAUCAAUUCUGGGCAUUGCAACGAUCAUCUCAAAUAAAGUAAUAUACUUACCUAUAUAUCCUAGAGUUAAUGGCAGAACACUAUACGUAAUAGAUAGAGAGUUGGGGAUGGAGAUUAGGGGCAAGCACCUGUUUUUUCGGACGAAUAGAAUCAAUCAUUGAAACUCCAGUGUAGAUUAGAAGAGGGGUCAGGUCACGGUUGCAUCGCGGGUGUCAAGCACAGGGAGUUAGGGUUUCGUGGAGCUCACCGAAACGGCGGGAGCGGCCAGCGCCAUGGGGCAGGCACGCCGGCGGCCAGGGAAUGGCGGCCGCUGAGGCAUACGCGCGCCACCGUGCACCAAAUCGGCGAUGCAGUCGCCCGGGCAGGGCACCGCGCAGUGAGUAGGCGGCGCCGAGGCUCGGCAGGCACACUGCGAUGCCGAGAGAGAGGGAGAGGGAGAGGGAGGAGGAGAAGGAGAGUGGAAGGGAGCGGCGUCACCGUGCCCCGCUCGCGGCCGUCGCCGUCACUGUUGUCCGCGUCGGGAGGAAGAGCGAGAGCGAGAGGGAGAGGGAGACCGAGCGAGGGAGGAGAAGGGUCAAGACGCAGAAGGCUCGGGAAGGUGGAGCCGAAGCUGUUGUAUAUAUUUGCUUUUCGG